GGGGGGUAGAGCCCACCAAGGCGACGAUCAGUAGCGGGUCUGACAUGAUGAUCCGCCACAUUGGGACUGAGACACGGCCCAAACUCCUACGGGAGGCAGCAGUGGGGAAUUUUGGACAAUGGGGGCAACCCUGAUCCAGCCAUGCCGCGUGUAUGAAGAAGGCCUUCGGGUUGUAAAGUACUUUUGUCGGGGAAGAGAAGGUUAGUGUUAAUACCACUGACUGAUGACGGUACCCGAAGAAUAAGCACCGGCUAACUACGUGCCAGCAGCCGCGGUAAUACGUAGGGUGCAAGCGUUAAUCGGAAUUACUGGGCGUAAAGCGGGCGCAGACGGUUACAUAAGUCAGGUGUGAAAUCCCCGAGCUCAACUUGGGAAUGGCGCUUGAAACUGUGUAGCUAGAGUGUGUCAGAGGGAGGUAGAAUUCCGCGUGUAGCAGUGAAAUGCGUAGAGAUGCGGAGGAAUACCGAUGGCGAAGGCAGCCUCCUGGGAUAACACUGACGUUCAUGCCCGAAAGCGUGGGUAGCAAACAGGAUUAGAUACCCUGGUAGUCCACGCCCUAAACGAUGACAAUUAGCUGUUGGUGUGCUUGCCACAUUAGUAGCGAAGCUAACGCGUGAAAUUGUCCGCCUGGGGAGUACGGUCGCAAAAUUAAAACUCAAAGGAAUUGACGGGGACCCGCACAAGCGGUGGAUGAUGUGGAUUAAUUCGAUGCAACGCGAAGAACCUUACCUGGUCUUGACAUGUACGGAAUCUUUCAGAGACGGAAGAGUGCCUUCGGGAGCCGUAACACAGGUGCUGCAUGGCUGUCGUCAGCUCGUGUCGUGAGAUGUUGGGUUUAGUCCCGCAACGAGCGCAACCCUUGUCAUUAGUUGCCAUCAUUUGGUUGGGCACUCUAAUGAAACU
rnacentral:rRNA from 1 species